CUUAUCAAGAAUCAUGCCUUUCCUGUUGCAGAGUAGAAGUAAACAAAAUCAAGAAAUCUCCAAUGCUCACACAAUUUUAACAGGUUUGGCCAAUACAACAGAGACGUGAAAACCAACAGAUGUCCCCCACCAAUCCAGGAAUGAGUGAAUUCUUGCUCUAUCAGGACCUGUGAGACUUCCCUCAAGAGCUGGUUGUUAAAAAGAGCCUAGGACCUCUUCCCUCUCUUGCUUCCUCUCUUGCCUUGUGAUCUUCACAUCCUGACUCUCCUUCACCUUCCACUCUGAGUGGAAGUUUCCUGAGGCUCUCGCAAGAAGCAGAUAUCGGCACCAUGCUUCUUUUACAGUCUUCAUAGUCCUGAGAACAAAAUCUAAAUCCUAGGAUUCCUUGACAUUCUGUUACUGAGAGUCUGCAGUCUCAAGACUUUAAGGAUAAUAGUUCCAAAGGAAUGUUAUCUGUACGUUUUUUCUGAGUAAACACUUCCAUUUCAAGCAAAA
rnacentral:lncRNA from 10 species